GGAUAGUCUCUUCCCUUAUGUUAACAAAAUUAUAGAAAAGUCCUUUAAUGAAUUCUAUGUGGGAAAAGUUGACAAGCUUACAUUAGCAAGACCAACAAUUGUAGUUACACAAGUACAAGGAGACAUCUGGGAAUGCUUUACAUAAAAUUUUAUUUACACCUGUCUCUGGAAAAAUGGGCAUUAUGCCAUGCCCGAAUAGUGACUUUCUCACUUAGACCUGUUUCACAGUUGCCACAUCUGUUUCAGGGAGGGAAGAGAGGAAAGACAUUCUCUAGUACAUUAUCACCCCAGCAUCUCCAUACAAAUGGCUGCUAUUAACCACAUCCCAUUCAGUAUAGAAGGCAAAGGUUUAAUAGUUAAACUGGAGGGCAGUUCCCUUCAGGAUCACAAAUUAAAGCUAAAUGAAGAGUGGGGUCACUUCUGGCCAAAGUUCAUUCUACAUUCUAGUAUAUAAAACCAGCCUCUCAAAAAGAGGAUUAAAUGUUAGUGACUCUAUGUUGACUUAAUUUCUCUUAUUUAUACAAAUCCCAAGGCAUUCUACUACCAAACAUAGGGAUUACUAACUCUGUGCUGAAAGGAAAUUGCCUUUUAGCAAUUAAUGUGGCCCCUCUAAAGAUUACUCAACAGCACAACACAUCAGUUAAAGAUAAGAACUAAGACACUACUAAGAAAAAGUAAGCCUUAUGAAAGGGGCUGAGGAUCCUAACACUUUUAUAAUUAAAUAAUUGUAUAACUGAUAUGACCCACUUCCCAAGUUGGGUUAUCAAAUAAAUUUGCAUCUUGGGAGGAUGGUGGUUGUUUUGAUCAUAAUGACUAGAGCUUCCUUCUUGCCUGUAAUGAGACUAUACUUUUCUCCUCUUUAGAGUCACUCCUGACAAGUCCCCAGAUUCAUGAAAUUCUACCCUGUUUCCUUCCUCUUGUCCUGAAGCUGAUUGGUUUUUUGUUUGUCUCUGAAUAUGCCACCAAUAAGGACAGGAGAUCUGGGGAGCCGAAGCUACUUUGACAUACAGGAAGUCACUCUCCUGUUUGUUAUUGUCACUGCUGCCAUGCUUGGUUACCAGUGGUCAUUUCCAAAGGCCAGGUUCAUAUUACAGGGAUUGGGGAAAAAACAGUAAAGUUCAUUUGGCCAGCCUCUACCAUAUGGAAACGAUGGGACUUGAACUAAUAAUAACUUUUAGACUCUCAAAACAGAACUUAAACCUGGAACAUAAACUCUGCAUUUUUUUCUAAGAGUUUGCACUCAUGUGACCUAUCAACACCAUUCUUUUCAAGUGUAACAUGCCUUUGCUGAGAUAAAUCAACAUUCUGGUUUUCAUUUAUACAUUUGUCAGGAAUAAAAAUAUUGCAUAACAAAAGGAUGGGAGGAACGUGAUCAUUUUAUAUUUUAGAAGAUACCUCACUUUCUACAUUAAUUUUUUUUAAAUACCUCCUGUCCAAAAGUGUCACAAUUUUCAGGGCUAAAGGUAAAAAAAUGUACAUUAAUCUUCAUAAUGAAAAAUAAAAUCUGCUCCUUUAAGAACACAGGGGACAUGAAAAUAAAAAAUCAAAUUAGCAUGAAGUGCUAUGAAAAUAAAAAAUCAAAUUAGCAUGAAGUGUCAUGACUGAGAAAAUUUUUGAGACAAGUUUUUAGAAAAUUUUGAAAGAGCAAUAGGUGAAUUUAGUGUAUAUAAUCAUUUAUUUUUUUAAUCUUUUUAGGGCCACACCCUAAAAAUGUUAAUAAGAUUAUCUGAGCCUUGUAAUAUAGUUAGAAAUUUGGAGAAAUUGAUUCUCUUGUGGAAUAUUAAAUCCCUUACAUCUCCUAGAUGUACCACAGAUCAGAAGAAUUCAUGACCAUAGGUAACACAGCAAUUGGAAUGAAAAACAAAGCGGAAUUUUUCCUAACAUUUUCAAAGCUGUCAAAGGGAUGUGUUGAAUUUAACAGUGGAGCUGAGCCCAGGUUUAUAUCAUAUAUCAAACUGCCACUGGAAAAAUUUAGGGGGAAUUGCUGUUAGUUUCUUUUUCUAAGCAUUUAUCAUUUUGUCUGAAGAAUCUCUGUGCUCUACGAACAUUGACUUAUAAAUGAUAAGAAUACCCCUAUAUGGUGUGCAGGGGAAACAUAAAGUUAUUACCUGCUUACAGGAUAAAACACUGAGGUAUGCAUAGCUUUGAGGCCAGAUAGCUGCAUGUUAUAUCAAGUGCUAGAAACUUGAAACCAGGUGCUGGGAAUUGCCACCAUCCAUACAACCAGUAUGAGCCAGAGGCAAUGAGAAGAAAAGCAGAAAAGAGGGCUCCACCAAGUUCUUAAAGUUUUGUGCCUGAAGAGGCAGAGAGCCUGAGCAAGGUCACUGUUAACGUGACACAUGGCAUUAAUUCGGGCAGCAGAUAAAUGUAUGAGUAGUCGUGUCAAGGCAACCUCUUAAUUAUCCAUCUCAAGACAGCUUUGACUUGCUGUAAAUUUGCUUUUACUUCAAGUUAUUCCAUUGUUACCCUUUAGUCAUCUUUAUGAAGUAUGUCAACAUCAUACCAUAAACCUCCACCAAGGAAGAAGGGCCAUCAAUAUACAAAAUAAAGGCAUUUUUGAAAAGUUUUCUAAGAAAACCCUUUGGAAAAAAAAAAAUCUGUUGGUACUUAUUUGCAUUCUAUACCAAGAAUCUUCUCUAAGCUUUCAUUUGUAAUUGUUUCUAUGUUUUAAAAUAUAUUUUGCUUAGCUAAUACAAAUGACCAAAUCCACUCAGUGAUAUCAUCUGCUUUGCAUGCUGACUUUAAACCUGAUAAUAGAGGAAGAAGGGGUAUUUUUGAUCAUCCUACUCACUUGUAGGAGCCCAUAAUCUAUCUUCAAAACUCUUAAAGCAAGAACACCCAGCAGCCACAGCAGGAGAAAAGAGUUUUGACCCUGGGGAGAGUUUCAAUUCUGUGAAUCAUUGCAUCAUCGCCCUCACCCACCUUCUGGCCCUCAGUAACUACAGCUAUCACUGCAAGAGAGGGCUUAGGCAGACAUUUUCAUUGGGUCCCCAUUUGUGUCAUGGGGCUGCUGCUGGUGAAGACUUGCAGCUGGGGAAUGAGGACACCUACUCUGGGAAAAACAACCCAAAGUAUUAGUCUUGAGCUAACACACUUUGUAAAGUAUGUCACAGUAAAAUUGUGUGUGCUGCACAUUUUCUUCUCAAAUUAUACUGACAACAGAGAAAAUAACAUAGUUCCUGCAGCCAUGUUAUCCACCUGUCCCCUUUCAGAACAAGACACUGGGCUGUUGGUGAGCGAAAAAAUUUAGUAGCAUAAGCAAGAGCAAACAUGGGUGGGGAAAAAUAGACAGUUCCAGAUGAUCUGCUUUACCCUAGAGUAGGGCAUUGUUGUAAUCCUGCCAUUUGAGCUUGCAGCAGUAUUGCUGGGCGGGGGCCAACCUCAGCACAUUUAGACACCUGCAGUGCAAUCCCAUGGCAUCCCUCCCAGAGUUAUAGCCUGUCGGUCUUUAAAUGGCACAUUUUUCUUCUCUGGUUCAUUGCUACUUUUACUUGUUAUGAAGACUAGGAGACUAGGUUAUAGUGAGUGGCUAGAAGCCAUAUUUUCCUUUUCCCAGAUAGUCAAAAAUGUUAACAUUUCUUUCAGGUUCCUUAAUGAUUACAAUAAAGAUGUAAGAUUACUCUGGGUCAAGUACUUUGCAAAGAUACAUACAUAAAUAUAGUACAUAUGUAUAUAUAGUACUUUGCAAAGAUACAUAUAUAUAUACCUUUAUAUAUAUCUAUAUAUGUAUCUUUGCAAAGUACUAUAUAUUUACACAUUUAUGUAUAUCAUAUAUAUAUACACAUAUAUGUGUACAUUCUGCAUAUACAUAUAUAUAUUGUACUUAUUUUUUAUGGAGUUCUACAAGAUAUAUAUAUGUGUGUGUGUAUGUGUGUUAUCUCUAUUUUACAGAUGAAGAUGCUGAGGAUUAGAAGGUUAAAUAACUAAAAUCUAAUAAGUGCCAUAGGUGGUACUUGAACCCACAUCUUAUAUUCAAACACUAUACUGUGAGUUAUGACCUUGGCAAAGCUUUCCAAACUCUAAUCUCUUCACUUUUAAAUUAAACACAAAAGCUCUGUAUUUUUUUUAACCUUUUUUUUCUAAAGGAAAUAAAUACACUGGAACAUUCAUUUACAAAAUAAUUUGUAAAAGUGAUUAUUUAAUUUCAUGGAUAUAGAGGCAUAGACAGAAAAAAAA
rnacentral:lncRNA from 1 species